GUCUCAGUUCGGAUCGCAGGCUGCAACCCGCCUGCGUGAAGCCGGAAUUGCUAGUAAUCGCGGAUCAGCAUGCCGCGGUGAAUACGUUCCCGGGCCUUGUACACACCGCCCGUCACACCAUGAGAGCCGGGGGGACCCGAAGUCCGUAGCCUAACCGCAAGGAGGGCGCGGCCGAAGGUAAAACUGGUGAUUGGGGUGAAGUCGUAACAAGGUAAC
rnacentral:rRNA from 1 species